rnacentral:lncRNA from 1 species
UAAGCUUUCUUCGCUUUCAGUUCCGCACCAAAUCAUAGCAAAGCACAGAUGCGGUAGCCAUUUUUGAAAGCUGCCCGUUAGCUUAGUAGCUGCGAGACCUGUCAAGUUCCGCUCUUCCCACUUGAUCCUGCAAGCCUAUACUUCUUGCUUUGAUGGCUGUCACUGCAAUCGUUGGAAUUGGUUGGUCGCUUGCUUGAUUGGAAGGACUGUCGCUUUUCUCUCUUAGCUUAGCUUGACUGAUCGUGUAGCAACGAGCUGCUUGAAUCUGAUUCCCCCCCCGCCUACCUUCCCUGAACGAGCUCUUUCUUUCCGUUCCUUUCCCGACGCUACGCGCCUUCACUUACUGAACUGUCCUUAUGUGACUUAACUUUCACUUUCUCUCUGCGAUACCCAAGUGCCUUUACUUGAACUGGAAGGUUGGAUAUUCUCUUCGGCGACCAAGAACAGAACCUAAAGCCCGAAGCAAAGGAAAGAUUAUCUGCGAAACUAGCCCUUAAGCCUAAAUCGCCCAAGAACAGAAAGAAAAACUAUCUGAUCCACGGAGUAACCGAUUGAACAAAAAACAAAGAUAGAAUGUCUGUAUCUCCAAAGCCGCUUGACUUGCUUAGUAAUGAAAGAGUGCGAGCUAAUAGAAUAGAAGGAUUUGACUCUUAUCAAAGCAACCUGCCCAAGAAGCAAGGGAAGAUUCUUUUAUCCACUAAACUAGCCUACCACGAGUCCAUGACCUGAACCGCCUACCCUAAACUCGCCUACCCUAAACUCGCCUACCCGUACCUGGCUACCUGACCAGAAGAAGAAAGAGUUUCUUUUGUUAGCUUUAGUUGAAAGAGGAACUUUCAAGACAUAGACAUUGAAACAACUAAUCACCGCUUGCCUAUGAGAAGAUUGAUUUAUCCCCUUGACUUGAAAGUAGUCGUGAGUCGAGAUGGAAAGUUCAAUCGCAAAGACGGUCAGGACUGGAACUGGAACGGAAAAGAGACUCUAUCACGAGCCUCUAGUCGUAAAAGGAAUAAUUUUUUAUAUGAUAUCCCUCGCCUGUAAUUGCUGCCUUCACUUGCUGCCGUAAUUUGCUGCUUGAAAGCCUGAGUUUUCUGGUUGGAUACAUAGUUCGAGUCGCCGUUGUGAACUACCAGGGAAACCCUUUUUAACCGCUCCCUGUCCCCUAUGUUAAGAGGUAGAGAAGAUCAGGUAAAUCAAAUCCAUUGCUUGCCAUUAAUGAUUCCUAAACACGUUCAUUUGUUGUAUGAUCAAUAGGGAAGGGGGAGUCAAUUUGAGAGCAAGCCUCCCCUCUCUCAAUCUCAAAAAGAAAAAAGGGCAACGCACGGUGGAGACCCCUUUCGUGAUCGACCAACCAUGGACGGAAAGCAGAGGUCUCAAAAGGGUUUUCUUCGAACAAAUGUCAGUUCCCAUAGAAUAGGAAGAAAGGGGCUGACUGAAGCUUUCAGGGAAGACUUUGCUCUUUCAGUUGCGAGUGGGUGCUAUCUUCAUAUGGUAACUCUCCUCUCGUUAACUCCACCCCUUCGAUAAAGGAUCUUGACCUUCUAAAACAUACCUUUCCUUGGAAUAAGACUUUAUCUAAAAAUGCUAUCUCCUCUCCCAAUGCUGACCUCCUUGUUUCAAAUCUUUCUCCUAAGCAAACGAGAUCUUAUUAUCUAAGGGAAGAGGUCAUAAGAUAAAAAUAAAUGAAAUUCUUAUAAAUAAUAAGGUUUUAGAGCCUCACGUCUUUCUUGACCUUCAGGAUGUAGACUUAAGCCGCCUAUCCUCUUUGGUUUUCCUCUCCUUUGAGCCUUCAAUCCCAGGCAUCCACUAAAAAAGGACCUUUCAAGGUCAGUAUCCGUCCAUUUUUUUACUUAACCAGAAAGGCGCGAAAAAGAUGGUUUUCAUUGACCAGAGUAAGAAAAGAGGGUCGGUUGAGC